rnacentral:rRNA from 1 species
GUGAAAUGCGUAGAGAUCCGGAAGAACACCAAAGGCGAAGGCAGUGUCCUGGGUGGUACCUGACGCUAAGAGGCGACAGCUAGGGGAGCGAACGGGAUUAGAUACCCCGGUAGUCCUAGCCGUAAACGAUGACCACGAGAUGUCCGGGGGAUCGACCCCCUGGGUGUCGAAGCAAACGCAGUCAGUGGUCCGCCUGGGGAGUACGGUCGCAAGAUUAAAACUCAAAGGAAUUGACGGGGACCCGCACAGGCAGCGGAGCGUGUGGUUUAAUUCGAUGCAACGCGAAGCACCUUACCAGGGUUUGACAUGUCUUUGCACCUCUAGGAGACUAGAGUGCCCGCAAGGGACGGAGACACAGGUGCUGCAUGGCUGUCGUCAGCUCGUGCCGUGAGGUGUUGGGUUAAGUCCCGCAACGAGCGCAACCCUCAUUGCUAGUUGGAUUUCUCUAGCGAGACUGCCACGAUCAACGUGGAGGAAGGUGGGGAUGACGUCAAGUCAGCACGGCCCUUACAUCCUGGGCGACACACACGCUACAAUGGCCGAGACAAAGAGGGGCGAACCGGCGACGGGGAGCUAAUCUCGACAAACUCGGUCCCAGUUCAGAUUGCAGGCUGCAACCCGCCUGCAUGAAGUUGGAGUUGCUAGUAACCGUGAGUCAGCACAUCACGGUGAAUACGUUCCCGGGUCUUGUACACACCGCCCGUCACACCACGAAGGUCGGCAACCCCUGAAGCCGCUGGGCUAACUCGCAAGAGAGGCAAGCGUCGAGGGUGGGGUCGGUGAUUGGGGUGAAGUCGUAACAAGGUAACCGU